rnacentral:lncRNA from 1 species
UAAAUCAUGGUAAUACCCAAUGAUAUAACUACUUUGGUUGGAAUUGGGUUAUUUAUUAACAAGCUACUAGAACUUGGCUUGUCAAAAGUGAGUGACUAAUACUUUACAUGGUUGCAAAAAGAUUAAUUGGGUGAAAAGUCUUGAGGCUGCCGAAAUGAGUGAGAAGGAGAUAAAAUAAAUAAAAAAAAAACUUCAUAAGGCUGCCGAAAUUAAGUGGAAAUAAUAACAUGGCUGCCAAAAUAA